UACGUAGGGGGCAAGCGUUGUCCGGAAUCAUUGGGCGUAAAGAGCGCGUAGGCGGUCCGGUAAGUCGGUUGUGAAAGUCGGGGGCUCAACCCUCGGAGGCCGACCGAUACUGUCGGGCUAGAGUCCGGAAGAGGCGAGUGGAAUUCCUGGUGUAGCGGUGAAAUGCGUAGAUAUCUGGAGGAAUACCGGUGGCGAAGGCGGCAUCCUGGACCGGCAUUGACGCUGAGGAGCGAAAGCCAGGGGAGCAAACGGG
rnacentral:rRNA from 1 species